GUCUUGGAAGCUAGAAACAAGUUCAUAUAUAAGAUUCGUAGGUGGUGGUCUACGUCUCUUAUUUCUACGAGUGCUCAUUUUCCUGAUCUGGAGCUAUGGUAUUAUCUUUGGUUUCAUUAUAUUUUCCUUCCCUGAUUUUUAUUGAUGCUUGGCGAUGUUAUGGGAUGGGACCUCCAUGUGCCAGUAUUUUUAGCCGAUCAGUAUGUGGUGCUGAAAAAUUAAUCUCUACAUAAUGACGUUUUCACAUCCAACUCCAAGCAAUGUAAGAAACCUAUCAUUUGACUAGCUGUAUGGUACAUCUCAUACAGUUUCUAAUACUGUUGUCCCUAUUAGUUGGAUACUCCAAAGGGCAAAGUUAAUGUUUUGUUCAUCGCUUUUGUACCCGUUUCUUCAUGUUUCUUCAUUUUGGCAGUGACCUGGGUUUCCAUGUACUUGAUAGAUACUUUCCUUAUGCUAUGUGUUUCUGUAUGUAUAUAUGUUUCUGGCCAUAAAUAUAUACCUGGCUCCAACUUUUACUGCUUUCCGUGGAACUUUGACAAGUACCCUUUAAUCCACUAAUUCUGGACCUAUUAGUUUGGGCACUGAAAACUUUGAAUAGUACCCUUGAAUUAGAGGAUUAAACUAACAGGUCUGAAAUCCUGAAGCCCAUAUGAAUCAGUUUUCAGUUUAAAUGAAUGGUGUUAUAGGAGAAGCUAAUCUGAAUGUUUGCACAGGAUUACUUCACUUGACGUACAUUAUCUGGAUCCUUGGCCACUUUUAUGCAAAAGCCUUCGAUCUCUUACUCCACUAUGGAGUUUGAUUGAGAAGUUUGGGCCUUUGGUCUUCUGUUACCUGAAACUUUAAAUCUGACUACAAAGCCUCAAAGGUCAAACCUCAAUUCAUGUAAAAAUCGGCAAAAGUUUAGAGGAUUUGGCUCCACAUUUUUUGAUCUUGUUAGUACUUUCACCUUGCUAAUUCAAAAUGUGUGAAUCCUGAUGCUAACUCUGUAGAGUAGGAGAAACUACCACAAGUCAAGGUGAGACCCAUGCCUAAAAAGGGGAAAUCACUCUGGAGUUUGCUCAAGAACAAGGCUAGACCCGAAUCUUGUUUACUCACUGUAUUUACUAUCUAUAAAGUUGUAUGUUUAUUUUCUUUGCAAACAAGUGUUGGAAUAUUGGCUUCUCAUAACUAUGUACAGUAACUUAAGUAUAUUCCCAGGAGACUAUGUGAUCAGCAAUCAUACAAAGUAAUUAAAUGAUGUGUUUUCUUUCAAAUAGAUAGACAAAAGGUGGACCGAUGGCUUCUUGCCACAUCCAUGGCUAUUGCUGGAAGUUGAUUGGAGAUCUUCACGUCCAGAAAUGCUAGUUUUGUAGAUUAGGCAAGUGUAUUCUUCAUUUUCUGCUGCUGUGUGCACAGAGCACAUGUGAAUUCUGCCUGCAUUCAAUUUCAUAAAUUAAUUGAGCAUUCUAAUAAUUGAGACUUGUUUAACUUUUGUAUAGGAAGCAAACAUAAGGACUCGACUCACAAUGAACCAUGAAGCCAGCGAUCUGCAUCAAAUGGAUGUUUUAGUUUUCAUUUUGUACAACUGAUGUCUCAUAGUUGCAGUCUUUUCGCUGUCCUUUGUUGAACCUGAUGUAUGGUGUCUUGGUGGUUAUGUUUGGAACAGACUGAAGUGUAUG
rnacentral:lncRNA from 1 species